rnacentral:lncRNA from 1 species
GGAAAUAACCUAUGAUUAUGGAGAUGCUGACUGCCCAUGGCGAACACAAGUAUGUUGCACUUAGAUUGGCUCAUUAAAAAAAAAACAAAUUUAAAUCUUUGAUUUAAAUCUAUUAUCUAAAAAGAUGUUAAAGUAAUCCAAGAUACACAAAAAUAUUAAUAUGUUCAAAGGUGGCUGAGGAAACUUUAAAAAGUUCAAGCAAGUCCUUUCACUCCAAUAUCCAAAAGGAUAAGCACAAAAAACAUACUUGCCAAAAGGUACAUUGCACCCAUCCCGACACCAAGUGAAAAGUUCUCUUCAAAUGUUUAAUUCAGUGUAUUUUUUAUUAAGUCUAAUUAGCAUUCACUAUCAUGAUUUAUAGUUUUACAAUGUGUAUCCACAGGAGACCUUGAACCCACUGAACACCCUGGGAAUGGACAUCCCAAAUCCUUCCAUCCAGCCAGAGGCUACCAAGGAAGACACCUUGGGUCAAGACAGUACCUCUAAUCAGGUAGGUUAUAAUUAUCACUUUACUUCUCAUUUAAAAACUCUGUUUCUGAUCUGUUUGUUGUCUUAUACAGCUAAAAAGAGAGAAAGUGUCCCCACAAAGCCUGUUUUAUUCAAUGGAAAAAUCCUGUCUGUAUUAUUUGAUAUAAAUAUAAGGCACCUUAUCUGUAAUGUACUAGGAUUUUUUUAUGCUUUUCACAGCAUCAAAAAAAAAGAAAACUGUGUAAAAUAUAUACACUGCACUGAUAAAAUUUGGUAGUGAAGGAACAAUUCAAUAUAUUUUAAAGGACAAUUAUUUUUUUCAUAUUUUUUAUGUGUUUAUUCGUUCAUAUUGGAAAUAUGUUUAUUGUUCCUUUUGUCGACAAAUUGUCGCCUAUCAGAGUGAUGUUGAGAUUUCUGUGCCAAAGUUGAGACGAACAAAAAGUGUUAUUGUUAGUAUCAAAAGUAAAGUCAUUAAAUCUGAGAGCAUUUAAUGCCUCUCACUUUUUCUCAAAGCUAAAGGAAAGACAAAUGCAAACACAUACCACAUUUAAGUAUUGAAAAUAUCUCUGAAGAACAUUUUUUUCUUAGUUUUCAGCAAAUUUGAUGUAUGUUUUAAAGUCAGAUCACAAUAAUGCAAUAUAAAUCUGAAUGUGUUCCAAAAAUGAGAGUAGACACCUGUCUCAUUACAUCUAAAAAUGUUGUCAGUCUGGAUCUUUGGUUGUUUUUCACUUACGUCAGACACCUGUCUCUUGUCAAUGCAAAAGUUGUCUCCAAAUAUAACUGAGUGGCCUCAUGCUUACCAAGAUCUGGCACAGGUUUUGUCUAAUGUGAACACUAUAAAUAAGCAAUUGAGCAUAAUUGUACAUACCUUCCAAAAACUGAAAUGACAAAAGACAAUCAAAGUCAAUAAAUCUUGAAGAUUCUGGUGAACUGUACGAUUCUGUAUCUGAGAGUAGAGAUGAUUACAUUCCAGAUACCACAUGUGAAAGUGACAGUGACAGCGAUACAAGCCUUCACCUUAGCCCAAAGACUCAAAGGUCUCUUGCAGACAAAAUUGAUGUUCCUUACCCAGUGAGUUCCCCUGAAGUUGACAACAUGACGCCAGUCCUUCUCCUUCUUCAAUCCAAAGCCACCGGAGCAGAAGAAGAGCCCUGCUCAAGUCAGAACAUAAAUGACGUGAUAGUUGUUAAAGCAUGCCAAAAGAGAGCUGGGAAAAGAGUGUAUGACAAAAGACAUUAUUGUUUGUAUUGCUCUAAGCCUUAUGCUAAUAUGAUAUGAAUAUAUCCAGUGUAGCCAGAGCUCUAAGCUUUCCAAAGGGCUCCAAGAAAAGAAAAUUACAACUAGAUUAUAUUCCCAACCAAGGGAACUUUGCACACAAUGCUGCAGUCAUGGAGUCACGAAAGGGGAAACUUGUUGCAUUCAAACGACCAGUUGAAGAGCUAGAGGAAAAGGACUUCAUGCAUUCUGCAUAUUGCCAAGCACUUUUUACCAGAAAGGUCCUGUGGCGACACAUGCGUAGAUGUAGACUUAAACCUGAAUCAGUCAACCCCAAACCAGGAAAGAAGCGUGUCCAGUCCAUGUGUAAAUAUGCAGAACCUGUGCCUUCCAACAUAAAAAAAGAACUGUGGGAAGUAAUCAGUGGCAUGAAACCUGACCCAAUCACUGACAUCAUAAAAAAUGACAGUCAUUCUUGAUAUUGGGCAACACUUGCUAAACAAAGGUGGGUAAUCAGACAAAAACAAACAGAAUGUGAGAGAGAAGAUGCGAGAAUUGGAAAGGUUGAUUAAGAGUGCUAGGAGAGGCACCACAUUAAACAAAAUGGGGGACCUCAUCAAUCCAGAGAAGUACAUGGAGAUUGUCAAAGCCGUCAAGCUUACAUGUGGGCAUGAAAGCGACACAAACAAGUUCCUCAUUCCAUCACUGGCUAUCAAACUUGGGAAAGGCAGAUUAAGGCAAGCAAACUACUAAACGCUCCAACAACAAUGAGCUUGUGAAGAAUGCCAGUGGGUUUCAAGAGGUGCAUCAGGAGAAGUGGAAUGAAGUGAUCUCAGUAACAGCCUUGAGAAACAUCAGGGAAGCAAAGUGGAAUGUCCCCACUCUUACGCCCUUUACCCAAGAUGUCCAAAAGAUGCACGCUCACCUCAAUCAAAUGCAAGAUGAGUGGCAUAAAUGUCUCUCUCAGAAAGUCCCUUUACAAAAGCCUGGAUGGAGCUGGCAAAGGACUGUCUGGCCCAGAUUAAUCUCUCUAACCGCCGCAGGGAGGGUGAGGUGUCAAGCACACCCUUAUCAGCAUUUUUAUCAAGAGACUCCACUGAUGCACAUGAGGAUGUGGACUGGGCACUCUCUGAAGUGGAGAAAAAGCUGUGCAGACACUUAUCAAGGAUUGUCAUUAGAGGCAAACGUGGUCAGCCAGUUCCAAUACUUCUGACUCCAAAAAUGCUGUGUUUACUGGAACUCCUCGUCAAACAGAGAGAGGCUUGUGGGGUUCUAAAUGAAAACUGUUAUAAGUUCGCAAGACCAGGAGCAAUGUCACAUUUCCGAGGUUCAGACUGCCUCCGUGGCUUUGCAAAGGGUUGUAAUGCAAAGUGUGUAAGGUCACUGACAUCCACCAGACUUCAAAAGCAUGCUGCAACUCUUUUAACAGUGCUUAACAU